rnacentral:rRNA from 1 species
GAUGAACGCUGGCGGCGUGCCUAAUACAUGCAAGUCGAGCGAACAGACGAGGAGCUUGCUCCUCUGACGUUAGCGGCGGACGGGUGAGUAACACGUGGAUAACCUACCUAUAAGACUGGGAUAACUUCGGGAAACCGGAGCUAAUACCGGAUAAUAUAUUGAACCGCAUGGUUCAAUAGUGAAAGACGGUUUUGCUGUCACUUAUAGAUGGAUCCGCGCCGCAUUAGCUAGUUGGUAAGGUAACGGCUUACCAAGGCGACGAUGCGUAGCCGACCUGAGAGGGUGAUCGGCCACACUGUAACUGAGACACGGUCCAGACUCCUACGGGAGGCAGCAGUAGGGAAUCUUCCGCAAUGGGCGAAAGCCUGACGGAGCAACGCCGCUUGAGUGAUGAAGGUCUUCGGAUCGUAAACCUCUGUUAUUAGGGAAGAACAAAUGUGUAAGUAACUCUGCACGUCUUGACGGUACCUAAUCAGAAAGCCACGGCUAACUCCGUG